rnacentral:rRNA from 1 species
GUCAGCGACUUAUAUUCUGUAGCAAGGUUAACCGAAUAGGGGAGCCGGAGGGAAACCGAGUCUUAACCGGGCGUUAAGUUGCAGGGUAUAGACCCGAAACCCGGUGAUCUAGCCAUGGGCAGGUUGAAGGUUGGGUAACACUAACUGGAGGACCGAACCGACUAAUGUUGAAAAAUUAGCGGAUGACCUGUGGCUGGGGGUGAAAGGCCAAUCAAACCGGGAGAUAGCUGGUUCUCCCCGAAAGCUAUUUAGGUAGCGCCUCGUGAAUUCAUCUCCGGGGGUAGAGCACUGUUUCGGCUAGGGGGCCAUCCCGGCUUACCAACCCGAUGCAAACUGCGAAUACCGGAGAAUGUUAUCACGGGAGACACACGGCGGGUGCUAACGUCCGUCGUGAAGAGGGAAACAACCCAGACCGCCAGCUAAGGUCCCAAAGUCAUGGUUAAGUGGGAAACGAUGUGGGAAGGCCCAGACAGCCAGGAUGUUGGCUUAGAAGCAGCCAUCAUUUAAAGAAAGCGUAAUAGCUCACUGGUCGAGUCGGCCUGCGCGGAAGAUGUAACGGGGCUAAACCAUGCACCGAAGCUGCGGCAGCGACACUGUGUGUUGUUGGGUAGGGGAGCGUUCUGUAAGCCUGUGAAGGUGUGUCGUGAGGCAUGCUGGAGGUAUCAGAAGUGCGAAUGCUGACAUAAGUAACGAUAAAGCGGGUGAAAAGCCCGCUCGCCGGAAGACCAAGGGUUCCUGUCCAACGUUAAUCGGGGCAGGGUGAGUCGACCCCUAAGGCGAGGCCGAAAGGCGUAGUCGAUGGGAAACGGGUUAAUAUUCCCGUACUUGGUGUUACUGCGAAGGGGGGACGGAGAAGGCUAUGUUGGCCGGG